GGUAAAUCUGCCAUAACUGCAUUUGUUAGUACUGCGUUUGGAUCGGCAGCAGUUCUACCAGCUUUCAAAGAUCCUCCUGUAGAAGGUUUUAAGCCAAGUAUCCAGACAAGAUGCUGCAAUGUCUUAUUUCUACUCACCAACUGGUAGAGAUGCGGUAGGCAAUGGAGUACCAACAGCAACUACCUGUUGCCGAUAAUCCGGUUCUCCAAUAGUUAAAUUGUAUUGAGUGGAAUCUUGUUGUCUUGCGCUCGGUAUACCCUGGGGAGCAUUAUACAAUACGGUCAAUGCAUAGUGAGGAGAUUCGUCGGUGCUAACAAUUAUAAUAAAAAAGAAAUUAUCUUUGUAUACUAUGGAAACAAUUUUAAAUAUAAAAUAAAAUAAUUAAUGUAAACAUUAAUAUUUUUUACCUGGCAUCUAUGAGCGGACUUAACGCUGCU